rnacentral:rRNA from 1 species
GACGAACGCUGGCGGCGUGCUUAACACAUGCAAGUCGAACGGUGAAACGCCUUCCUUUUUGGUGGGUGGGGAGGAGUGGCGAACGGGUGAGUAACACGUUAGUAACCUGCCCCCUUCUUCUGGAUAACCGCAUGAAAGUGUUGCUAAUACGGGAUAUUCUGGGUCUGUCGCAUGAUUGGUCAGGGAAGGAUAUUGUUUCGGUUGGUGAUGGGCUCGCGGCUUAUCAGCUUGUUGGUGGGGUGAUGGCCUACCAAGGCGGUGACGGGUAGCCGGCCUGAGAGGGUGGACCAUAACAGAGGUGCGGAGACGCGCAGCAGACUACGAGGGGAGGCAGUAGGGAAGAUUAGGGAACAGGCGGAGCAAGGAUGAUGCAGCGACGCGGCGUGAGGGAUGGAGGCCGGCGGGUUGAGAACCUCUUUCGGGAGAGAAGCAGGCGGGACUAGUUUGUGCGUGGGUUGACGGUAGCUGGAUAAGAAGCGCCGGCUAACUACGUG